rnacentral:rRNA from 1 species
ACUCAAAGGAAUUGACGGGGGCCCGCACAAGCGGCGGAGCAUGUUGCUUAAUUCGACGCAACGCGAAGAACCUUACCAAGGCUUGACAUCACCCGAAAACUCGCAGAGAUGCGGGGUCCUUUUGGGCGGGUGACAGGUGGUGCAUGGCUGUCGUCAGCUCGUGUCGUGAGAUGUUGGGUUAAGUCCCGCAACGAGCGCAACCCUCGUUCCAUGUUGCCAGCACACGGUGUUGAAAUAUACAUCGUGGUGGGGACUCAUGGGAGACUGCCGGGGUCAACUCGGAGGAAGGUGGGGAUGACGUCAAGUCAUCAUGCCCCUUAUGUCUUGGGCUGCAAACAUGCUACAAUGGCCGGUACAGAGGGCUGCGAUACCGUGAGGUGGAGCGAAUCCCUUAAAGCCGGUCUCAGUUCGGAUUGGGGUCUGCAACUCGACCCCAUGAAGUCGGAGUCGCUAGUAAUCGCAGAUCAGCAACGCUGCGGUGAAUACGUUCCCGGGCCUUGUACACACCGCCCGU